rnacentral:ncRNA from 2 species
GGCAGAGUAGGCAAACGUGUGUUUCCGCCGGGCCUUUAAGGGCCGGCAAGUGCCGGGAGAACGGGGAGUUGUCCCCCGGACGAAAAGUCGGAAGACUUGCAGUACGUUUGCCGCAUCCCGCUGCC